UGGGGAUGUGAGCCUGGAAAGCGCCUGCCCCCGGGUUUGGUCCACCAGGAGGGUCCCGAUCACGUGGAAAAGGGGGCUGGGAAGCAAGGGACCGGCGGGGGUGGAGAAGGAAAACAGACUAAAUGUUUUAACAGCUGCUCUUUUUUCUUUCCCUAUUUGGCCCAAGGUUCUGAUUUCCCUCUGAAGGGGAUGGGCCUCCUACAGGCAGGAGGCUGAGUCCAGCAGGGCCUGUUUGCUCUGGGAAACUGAAUUCUCUUUCUCUUUUUGUCCAAGGGUUUGCUUUUGAGGAGAGAGAAGGAAUGGAAAAUUGUUCUUCAGGAAAGAUGGAAUGUCAUUCCAUGUAACUUACUCCUCCAUUUCAGUGCCUCGAUGAUGAUACAGAAGGUGCUUUACUAUCUGUCAGAUGAACAAAGGAGAAACUCCCCAAGACGACCUCUGUCCCAGCUUCUGACUGUCAGACCAAAUGGCAUAGAAAGUAAUGCAUCCCAGCGACUCUAUCAAAGUAUGAGUUGAUCUAAU